AUAUAUGUUGAGAAUCUUUGACUUAUUUGACAACAUUGAAUAGCUAAUUAUUACUGAUUAUACUUGACUUUUAGAAAUUCUGAUUAGAGAUAUUCUUUCCUUACAUGAUUCAAUGCUUCAUGCAUAUAUACCUAUACAUACUUUUGAGAAAUUGGGAUUUUCCUCAAUAUAUUAGAGUAUUCAUCUCUACUUUCAUCAUGGUAUUAGAUUUUUGAUCCGUUUUUAGGGAUAAUUUUUUUCUGGUUAUCAAAGUUUUGUUCCAAAAACCCUAGAAACACUAAAUUGGUACUGUCCAUCCUAACUCUUUAUUUUUUCUCUCACUGCUGGUACCAUUGGAGUCGGAAUCCAAUCGCCGGCGAAACCCCGGAGUUCGAUUACCAGAAGACUCGCAUGUGAGCCUCACACGAUGUCACAAGGUUCUGCCUCUUUACUUCACAUGUCGCGCGUGACCUUAGUUUUUUUGUGUGAGAUCUCUUUUGUGCUUUCUUGGAGGGGUCUUUGUUAUAAUUUUUUGAAGCAGAUUUUGGGGUAUUAGUUGUCUUUUUCAACAUUAUGUCAGAAGGACGAGAAGCUCGUGACUCCAACCGGUCAUCCCUCGUUGCAAAUUAGUCCUGUGAAGCUUUAUGACCAUAAUUACCUUGUUUGGUCAAGGUCCUGCUUGUUGUUUGUCAAGGCUCGUGGAUUGCAGGGAUACAUCACUGGUACCACGACGAAACUUAAACUGACUGAUUCAACUUUUAGUUAAUGGGAUUCAACGAAUUCUCUUGUUAUGGUAUGGUUUAUCAACUCUAUGCAAUCUCAUAUUUCCAAAACUUAUUUGCUGCUUGAUACUGCGGAAAAGAUUUGGAAUAUUGUUGCUCUCACCUACUCUCAUAUUUGGAAUGAUGCAUGUUGAGUGUUUUUGUAUGUUUGUCUUUCAAAGGGGGUUAAAUUCUCUAUUUAUAUGAUGCGGUCCCUGUUUCUGGAUGCGACGUCCUAGUUAAACCCCAUGCAUGCCAACACGUAUCCUAUUCUAGGAUUAACAUGUGUUCUCUAGGUGCGGGUUUGCCUGCAUAGUGGUGUGGACUCACACGGGGUGAGUUCAUGAGUGGAUGCAAACUCAUCACAUGCAAACCCCAAGAUGCGAACUAUGCUGGCUACGGAUCAGUCUCAUUCGGGUAACCAGGUAGUAGGCCGGUAAUGACAAACACCAUAACAAACUGUUCCCCACCCAAUUCAAGAAGAAUUAUAAAGUGACUUUUCUAAGAACUUGGCUUCGCGAAGUAGGGAACAUUUGAGAAUGAAACGUAUUGCAUUUGCUUUUUGCUUUAAAUUGUCAUAUGUGAUUCACCGUGUGUUGAGGAGAGGUACAAUUGUAUAAAAUUGAUUGUGCCUUCAUUCUCGAACACACGAAUAGUCAAUGUGUGAAACUCUUUAAAAGGAGGUUACCUUAACCCUAAAUAUUAAACCGUUUGAAAUUGAAAUUUUUGAGGAGCUGCUGUCGAGAAAGAUCAUCAUGGUUCAAAGGUAAAUUUGUUAAGAUGUCUUUAUAGUUAUUCUGGGUUUAUUAGGCAUAAUGGUUAGGUCGAGAAAAGGUGGUCGUACAUUCAAGGUAAUUGUGGUGGCUUAGGGAGCAAGCCUUCAUAAUGCUGCGGAGUAAAUACUCUCGUGGAGGUGAAAGCAUAUGUUUGCACCACCAAGCAUGAAGAGAUGAGUCGUCACCUGGCUGCUCGAGGGACUCAAACAGCUAAUUUUACUUAUGACUUCUCGAUUGUUGAAGGAUCGAGACGAUUGAAUGACACCACCGAUGGAAGUUUUCUACUUCUCUUACACGUACUAGAAGCAGAUUUUCAUCUUCCACUUCACCCUUUCUUCUACCAUCUUCUUGACAAGUAUGGAAUAGCUCCGAGUUCUCAUGGUGGGUUGCAGUGGCCUACUUCAUUUAAUGUGCUCGGCAAGAAGAGACGCCGUUGAUUUCUGUUUUCCAUAAUCUAUACCAACUCAAAGCCUGCAAUUGAAGAGGUUCUUUGAGCAUGUUUUAUUUUACUCCUCACGAUGGAUUGGAAUCAAUUGUUUCCAACUGGUCUUCGAAACUUCGAUUGAAUCAAUGUAAAUAUAUACGGGUAAAAAAUAAAUUUGGAGUUUUUUUUGGUAUUUCCAUUGAACGGUUCACACCUAGCGUGUGUGCCUACGACAACAAGAAAUUAUAUCAGAGGCUAGGUGGGCUCAAUUUUAUAGGCUUCGUUGAGGUCGUGUAUUGAAUCUAGAGGAGGUGCUAACUGUCAAAAAUGUGUUUCACUAUUGCCUCAUAGAUCUGAGUCCUAAUGGAUGACGGCCAAUUGAUGACAACAAUGGUGCGGACACUAUGUUAGUCUUGCCCGCGCAGUUCAUGUGGCUACAUGGAGCUACUAAUGAGUUGUGACUUAUUCUGUUAGGGAAAAAAAGGAGCCUAAAAAUUAUUUUUAUGUCUUUUGUAAAUUAAAGUCUCGUCUACGGUCCUCUAAACCUACAAGGGAUCAAGAAGGUAGCACAAACCCUCUUAUGAUUUCUAUUGGUGUUGAUAAUAGACUUGUUGGUGAUGCAGGCACAACUCGUGUGGCUCCAUGUGGCCACACGAAUAAAUGGACAUUCGAUCUUUUAUGCAAAAUGUGUGAAGGGGUUUUUCUAGUGCUUCUACUAGGAAGAAAGUGCAAGUAUUAAAACAAAAACAGAAGACUUGCUGCGGCUACCAAUGUUAUAAAGCAGCGAAGACGAAGGUAGCCCUAUAAGGGAACUUCGCCGAAAGAAGGAAAAGGAUGGUGCUACAUCAUCUGGUGGUGCAACGACCACUGUUAUAGUCCCUCCUGCAGUUUCUUCUCCUCCUGCAUCCCCACCUCCACCAAGGCCACCAACCGAUGACUCUUUUGGUGUAAUUGUUCAACACGACCCUCUUAGAGGUUCAAUGAAGUUCAUGUCUACUAGUGGUGAAACACAAACGUUAUUUCCGUAGCGCGAGCAUUUGAGUAUGCAGAAGUUUCCUUAUUUCCCUACUAAGGUGGCUUUAGCUAAAUUUGGUAUAGUUAGUGUGGGGCUCGCUACAUAUUCCCUCAUUUAUCUCUCUAAUGACAUAUUCAACUUCAGUGGGAAUGAGACAUCUCAAAAGUGGCUAAGAGUUUUAAUCGAAUGAAAAUUAAAUAAUUUAUGCAUAUCAAGGUGCAUUAUAUGUAAAUAACAACAUCAUACUUUGCAGCUUUAUUUUGCACUUUAGCUAACUCUUUUUUCUUAAGCUACUGAUUGUGCCCUUGCAAGGCUUGUAUUAUGGGGGUCAUUCAUGUUUCUUCUUGAUUUAGAUUAAGCACAUGAUGGCUAUUAUAGCUUGGGGUGACUCUAUGUUCUAGCAAAAUUUUCCCUCUUUGCUUGAUAGUUAUAAAGAAUGCUAACUUAAAUAAAACGUCAGUUUUGGUGUUCUCUGUCCUGGAUAACUGUUUGACUUUUGCCUUGUCAAAUUUGGUGAGCAACUGGGUAGCUAUGGCAUGGUACUUCUUUAGGCUAGGCUCAUUUACUUCAUAUUCUCCAUUCAUUUGCUUUGCUACCAGCUAGAGUUAGUGUAUAUUAUCAACUCCCUCGCCCAACUGUAGAGCUAGUUGCAGUCGGAAAUUAAUGUCUCGUACUCUACAAUAUUGUUAGAUGCCUGGAAGCGGAUUAAGAGUCCAUACUGCCAUUCAUUCUUAUUAGGGUCUAUAAGGAGAACAUUCGCUCAUGACCCCAUCUUAAUUGUUGAGCCAUCCACGUAAACUGUCCAGCAUUCGGCUUUGCAAUUGGGCUACUUUGUUCUUGUGAUGAGCUAACUACUAUAUCUUGUAUAAUCAACGGAAAAAAAAUUUUAGAACCAAAUGUAUAUUUGAUGAGCUAAUGUUUGUUGAGUUAA